GAGUUUGAUCCUGGCUCAGAUUGAACGCUGGCGGCAGGCUUAACACAUGCAAGUCGAACGAGGUUAGGGAGCUUGCUCCUGAUACCUAGUGGCGAACGGGUGAGUAAUGCUUAGGAAUCUGCCUAGUAGUGGGGGAUAACUUGGGGAAACUCAAGCUAAUACCGCAUACGACCUACGGGUGAAAGGGGGCGCAAGCUCUCGCUAUUAGAUGAGCCUAAGUCGGAUUAGCUAGUUGGUGGGGUAAAGGCCUACCAAGGCGACGAUCUGUAGCUGGUCUGAGAGGAUGAUCAGCCACACUGGGACUGAGACACGGCCCAGACUCCUACGGGAGGCAGCAGUGGGGAAUAUUGGACAAUGGGCGAAAGCCUGAUCCAGCCAUGCCGCGUGUGUGAAGAAGGCCUUUUGGUUGUAAAGCACUUUAAGUAGGGAGGAAAAGCUAAUGGUUAAUACCCAUUAGCCCUGACGUUACCUACAGAAUAAGCACCGGCUAACUCUGUGCCAGCAGCCGCGGUAAUACAGAGGGUGCAAGCGUUAAUCGGAAUUACUGGGCGUAAAGCGCGCGUAGGUGGUUGCUUAAGUCAGAUGUGAAAGCCCCGGGCUUAACCUGGGAACUGCAUCUGAUACUGGGUGACUAGAGUAGGUGAGAGGGGAGUAGAAUUCCAGGUGUAGCGGUGAAAUGCGUAGA
rnacentral:rRNA from 1 species